GCUUGCGAUGAUGUGAGAUGAUAAAAUGCCUUCGAGAAGAGAUGAAGAGAAACGAACGACCCAGGCGUCGGGACGCAGCGUUAGGCUACCCCGGACCUGACGCUGCGUCGGGAGGAUCAUCCGCUUCCGGAUGCCAGUUGCCAGGGGUAACCGAAUCCGCUGCAAGCAAAACUGCGGAGAAGGCGGAAAUACCGUACCUGUGGUAGUUGGCGUUAGUCACGCAAUGGCGUGUGUUUUAUUAGCCAGAUGUCGGGCUCCAUCUCGGAACCAGGAGAUCAAGACCUGAGCAGAGAGGAAAAGUCAGACAUUUCACUGACUGAGCCACCCAGGCGCCCCAGGCAUGAAAUAUCUGAGCAUUUGUUUGUGUCAUCUUCAAUUCUUGCAUCAGUAUUUUACAGUUUCCAGAGUACAGA